GAUUUACUCAUCAGGGGGAGAGUGCUGCCACAUCAAUGGGUUAAAAAAACAUUCAAAUAAAAUGUUUGGCAGAAGCUGCAAAAUUGUAUAUUGGUGUCUGGUGUGAUACUGACAUUUCUUUUAUUUGUAAGGAUAGAGCUGGGGAGCUUCUAGUGUUACAGUCUUGGCCCCACCCCAGUUUUCCUGUACUGCAUGUGUUUUCCUCACUUCCCUGAUCGUAGUAUAAGUGUUAAUUGGUAUACCAUGGACACCAUCUUAUCAGUUCUGCAGUUUUUUGACAAUCUAUGUAUGGUUUUCAUGAUUUUCAGUGUAUAGUCUUCCCCAACCUUGUACCUAGGGUUCUCUUUGUACAAAGAGAACCCUGGGUAAUGAGGUUGAGUCUUCCCUUGCUCAUCACAAAUUAAUAAAAAGAUCACACACUACAUAAUUGAUGUUUAUAAAAUUUAUUUAUUUUAAUUAAAAUCGAAAAGAUAUUAACAUAAUAUUAAUA